GACGAACGCUGGCGGCGUGCUUAACACAUGCAAGUCGAACGGUGAAGCGCCUUCCUUUUUGGUGGGUGUGGAUGAGUGGCGAACGGGUGAGUAACACGUGAGUAACCUGCCCCCUUCUUCUGGAUAACCGCAUGAAAGUGUGGCUAAUACGGGAUAUUCUGGGUCUGUCGCAUGAUGGGUCUGGGAAAGAUCUUGUUUCGGUGGGGGAUGGGCUCGCGGCCUAUCAGCUUGUUGGUGGGGUGAUGGCCUACCAAGGCGGGCAGGAGUUGCCGUCCUGGGAGGGUCGGCGGCCAAAGAGGUGAGGAACGACCGCGAGGACUACGAGAGGAGGCAGUGGGGGAUAUUAGACAAUGGGGGGAGGAAGGCUGAAGCAGCGCCGCGUGUGGGGGGAAGGUCUUCGGAGGGUUGUGAACUUUUUUCGGGAGUGAAGGGGGGUAACCUCGUUUGUGGGUGGGUUGACGUUAGCAGGAUAAGAAGCACCGGCUAACUACGUG
rnacentral:rRNA from 1 species